rnacentral:tRNA from 1 species
CCUUCGAUAGCUCAGUUGGUAGAGCGGAGGACUGUAGAGGAGUUCAAUAGACAUCCUUAGGUCGCUGGUUCAAAUCCGGCUCGAAGGA